rnacentral:rRNA from 1 species
CCUACGGGAGACAGCAGUGAGGAAUAUUGGUCAAUGGACGAGAGUCUGAACCAGCCAAGUAGCGUGAAGGAUGACUGCCCUAUGGGUUGUAAACUUCUUUUAUAAAGGAAUAAAACGAGGCACGUGUGCCUUUUUGCAUGUACUUUAUAAAUAAGGAUCGGCUAACUACGUGCCAGCAGUCGCGGUAAUACGGAGGAUCCGAGCGUUAUAUGGAUUUAUUGGGCUUAAAGGGAGCGUAGAUGGGUUGUUAAGUCAGUUGUGAAAGUUUGCGGCUCAACCGUAAAAUUGCAAUUGAUACUGGUAGUCUUGAGUACAGUUGAGGUAGGCGGAAUUCGUGGUGUAGCGGUGAAAUGCUUAGAUAUCUCGAAGAACCCCGAUUGCGAAGGCAGCUUACUAAACUGUGACUGACAUUGAUGCUCGAAAGUGUGGGUAUCAAACAGGAUUAGAUACCCCAGUAGUC